rnacentral:piRNA from 1 species
UAGGGCUCACUGGACUUUUGAC